UACGGAGGGUGCAAGCGUUAUCCGGAUUUACUGGGGUUAAAGGGUGCGUAGGUGGGUCUGUAAGUCAGUGGUGAAAUCUCCGAGCUUAACUCGGAAACUGCCAUUGAUACUAUAGAUCUUGAAUAUCCUGGAGGUGAGCGGAAUAUGUCAUGUAGCGGUGAAAUGCUUAGAUAUGACAUAGAACACCAAUUGCGAAGGCAGCUCACUACUGGAUCAUUGACACUGAGGCACGAAAGCGUGGGGAUCAAACAGG
rnacentral:rRNA from 1 species